rnacentral:rRNA from 1 species
UCAAGGGAAGAAGGGCAUACGGUGGAUGCCUAGGACGUAGGAGGCGAAGAAGGGCGCGGCAAGCUGCGAAAAGCCACGGUAAGGUGCAAGCGACCGAAGAGCCGUGGGUACCCGAAUGGGGAAACCCGGUGAGCUGAGAGGCUCAUCAUCCCGAAAGGGAGGCGAACCCGGUGAAGUGAAACAUCUCAGUAGCCGGAGGAAAAGAAAGCGAAGCGAUAGCGUGAGUAGUGGUGAGCGAAAGCGCUGGAGUCCAAACCGAAGACGUGUCAAGCGCGCGGGCGUUGCGUCUUCGGGGUAGGGGGACGUUCGAGGGGUGGCUGCGCCCACCCACUCAGACGGAAGGCGUUUAGGAGAAAUCUCUGGGAAGGGAUACCGAAGAAGGUGACAGUCCUGUACCCGAAAGGCGCCGGAGCUGAGGAACGAUCCCAAGUAGUGCCGGGCACGUGAAAUCCGGUAUGAAUCAGGGGAGACCACUCUCCAAGACUAAAUACUCCUACGGACCGAUAGAGAAGAAGUACCGUGAGGGAAAGGUGAAAAGCACCCCGGGAGGGGAGUGAAAGAGAACCUGAAACCGUAUGCCUACAAGAAGAGGGAGCGAAAGUGACCUCGUGCCUUUUGAGUAAUGUGCCUGCGAGUGGUCGUAUCGGGCGAGGUUAAGCCGGGGGAGGCGGAGCCGGAGGGAAACCGAGUCUGAAGAGGGCGAAAGAGUCCGAUGCGAUCGACCCGAAGCCAGGUGAGCUACCCAUGUCCAGGGUGAAGGUGGGGUAAGACCCACUGGAGGCCCGAACCGGUGGACAGUAAAAAGUCUUCGGAUGAGGUGUGGGUAGGAGUGAAAAGCUAACCGAACCUGGUGAUAGCUGGUACUCUCCGAAACGUAUUGAGGUACGGCCUCAGGGGGUCCCUUGCGGGGGUAGGGCGCUGGAUGGGGUAGGGGAGCAAUCUCCGAACUCAACCAAACUGCGAAUACCGCAAGGAAUAACCUGGGAGACAGCCCGUGGGGGAUAAGCUCCACGGACGAGAGGGAAACAACCCAGACCGACGGCUAAGGUCCCGAAGAGAUCGCUUAGUGUGCAAGGAAGUGGUGUGUCCGAGACAGCUGGGAGGUUGGCUUAGAAGCAGCCAUCCUUGAAAGAGUGCGUAACAGCUCACCAGUUAAGACAGGCUGCGCCGAAGAUAGAGGGGGCUGAAGCGAUUCACCGAAGCCGCGGAAUGCGAAAGCAUUGGUAGGAGAGCAUUGCGCCGAGGGAGAAAGCCGGACUGCGAAGGCGGCUGGACGGAGCGCAAGGGAGGAUGCAGGCAUGAGUAACGAGAAGACGGUGAGAAUCCGUCUCCCCGAAAGCCUAAGGGUACCUGGGGAAGGGUCGUCCACCCAGGGUAAGCCGGACCUAAGGGGAACCCGAAAGGGGUAACCGAUGGGAAGCCGGUAAAGAUUCCGGCGCCAGGCGUCCGGGAGGUACGAGCGGGGACACAGGAGGAUAGGCUCUGCGAAGAAAUGGGAAAUUCGUCCAAGCCUCGAGCUGUAGAAGCGCGUAGGGAAGGCCGCGCGCGGAGGUAAGGGGUGAAGGGGAGUCCAUCGAAGGGUGGGCAACGGAGCUGAGUUCACACUGUCAAGAAAAGCCGCGCGUACCGGCGAACGGAAGCCUGACCGUUCUAAAAACCGACACAGGUAGGCUAGUUGAGAAGACUAAGGGGAGCGGGAGAACCUCCGCUAAGGAACUAGGCAAAAUGGCCCCGUAACUUCGGGAGAAGGGGCGCUCCUGCGGGUUAAGAGCUAGCGGGAGCUGCAAAGACCAGGCUCUGGCGACUGUUUACCAAAAACACAGGACUCUGCGAACACGAUGAGUGGACGUAUAGGGUCUGACGCCUGCCCAGUGCUGGAAGGUUAAGGGGAGUGGUCAGCGCGAGCGAAGCUACGAACCGAAGCCCCAGUAAACGGCGGCCGUAACUAUAACGGUCCUAAGGUAGCGAAAUUCCUUGUCGGGUAAGUUCCGACCUGCACGAAUGGCAUAACAACAUCCCCGCUGUCUCGACCAGGGACUCAGCGAAAUUGUAUUGGGGGUGAAGAUACCCUCUACCCGCGGCAAGACGGAAAGACCCCGUGAACCUUUACUGCAACUUGGCAGUGAAGCUCGGGACAUUCUGCGUAGGAUAGGUGGGAGACUUUGAAACCGGGGUUCCGGCUUCGGUGGAGUCAACCUUGAAAUACCACCCUGAAUGUUCUGGGCUUCUAACCCAGCACCGUUAUCCGGUGCGGGGACACUGUCUGGUGGGCAGUUUGACUGGGGCGGUCGCCUCCCAAAAAGUAACGGAGGCGCGCG